GAUGAACGCUGGCGGCGUGCUUAACACAUGCAAGUCGAACGAUGAAGCCCAGCUUGCUGGGUGGAUUAGUGGCGAACGGGUGAGUAACACGUGAGUAACCUGCCCUUAACUCUGGGAUAAGCCUGGGAAACUGGGUCUAAUACCGGAUAGGAGCGUCCACCGCAUGGUGGGUGUUGGAAAGAUUUAUCGGUUUUGGAUGGACUCGCGGCCUAUCAGCUUGUUGGUGAGGUAAUGGCUCACCAAGGCGACGACGGGUAGCCGGCUUGAGAGGGUGACCGGCCACACUGGGACUGAGACACGGCCCAGACUCCUACGGGAGGCAGCAGUGGGGAAUAUUGCACAAUGGGCGCAAGCCUGAUGCAGCGACGCCGCGUGAGGGAUGACGGCCUUCGGGUUGUAAACCUCUUUCAGUAGGGAAGAAGCGAAAGUGACGGUACCUGCAGAAGAAGCACCGGCUAACUACGUG
rnacentral:rRNA from 1 species